GAAAUGCGAUAAGUAAUGUGAAUUGCAGAAUUCAGUGAAUCAUCGAAUCUUUGAACGCACCUUGCACUCCUUGGUAUUCCGAGGAGUAUGCCUGUUUGAGUGUCAUUAAAUUCUCAAACCUUCAUUGGUUUUUUCCUUUGUAAGGCUUUGGAUGUGGGGGUUGCUGGAAUCUAACGAAUUCGGCUCUCCUUAAAUGCAUUAGUGGUUACUGUUCUCCACUUCGAUGUGAUAAUUAUCUACAUCUUAUGAGUGGAGAUGUUAAGUGUAGCUGCUUUCUAACCGUCCGAGUUAAUCGGACAAUUUGAACCAUUUGACCUCAAAUCAGGUAGGACUACCCGCUGAACUUAA
rnacentral:misc_RNA from 1 species